GCCUGGAUGGCGGAACAGGUAGACGCAAGGGACUUAAAAUCCCUUGGGGCUAAGUCCCCGUGCCGGUUCGAUUCCGGCUCCAGGCACCA
rnacentral:tRNA from 1 species